GAUGAACGCUGGCGGCGUGCCUAAUACAUGCAAGUCGAGCGAACAGAUGAGGAGCUUGCUCCUCUGACGUUAGCGGCGGACGGGUGAGUAACACGUGGAUAACCUACCUAUAAGACUGGGAUAACUUCGGGAAACCGGAGCUAAUACCGGAUAAUAUAUUGAACCGCAUGGUUCAAUAGUGAAAGACGGUUUUGCUGUCACUUAUAGAUGGAUCCGCGCCGCAUUAGCUAGUUGGUAAGGUAACGGCUUACCAAGGCAACGAUGCGUAGCCGACCUGAGAGGGUGAUCGGCCACACUGGAACUGAGACACGGUCCAGACUCCUACGGGACGCAGCAGUAGGGAAUCUUCCGCAAUGGGCGAAAGCCUGACGGAGCAACGCCGCGUGAGUGAUGAAGGUCUUCGGAUCGUAAAACUCUGUUAUUAGGGAAGAACAAAUGUGUAAGUAACUAUGCACGUCUUGACGGUACCUAAUCAGAAAGCCACGGCUAACUACGUG
rnacentral:rRNA from 1 species